rnacentral:lncRNA from 1 species
GCGCAGCUGAACGGCUCAUCACUGUCCGGGAGCAGCAGGCAAUAGGAGCUGCGGAGAGGGCGAAAGACGCGAGGAAGUUCUCUCAUGGAACCGUCAUCAUUCCUCACACAGCGGAUGGCGGGGAGACUGCAGGACUGCACCCGCUCCUCACGGCGUUCCCCGGGGCGGGCGCUGGCACCGCGCGGCGAGCCGAGAGGCGGCCCCGCCGCUGCCCAUCGCCGCGGCGGCGCCCCGCGGCCGUCCCCCGUCUUCCCGCGGCGAGCGCCGGGCGCGCGUCGCCUCCGGCCGCACCACGCCCCGCCGGCCGGGCAGCCCGCGCGGGUCCCGCCGCGCCUCACGCCGCCACCAUCGCCCUCCUGCCGGCGCUGCGCCGCGUCUCGCCUCAGCCCGGCCCGGCCCGGCCCGCCGCCCCCCGGCCAGGAGCGGCCCGCCCCCGCCGUCCCAUUGGCUGAACCGCGCGCCCCGCGUGAACCAUUGGUCGCCGCUCGGCGUCAAUCACCUGCGGGCCGGAGGGGGAGACCCUCGCGCAACGGGGAGAGCGAAGCAGUGAAGGGAGACGGCGCUCGCAACACCUCCUCUCCCGAGCUCUCCCCCUCACGUCAAUCUCUUUUCUGAUUGGCUACAGUGCGGGGGAGUAGGCGGGGUCGAGUGUUAGGGAUGCCCA